CAGUAAAAAACUCUAAAACAGCAACAGUAAAAUAUUUUUUAAAGCUAAAUAGUAUAUCACCGUAUUGCAUACAUUAAAUUACCAUAAUUUAAGAAACAGUACAUACAUUUUAUUUUUACUCUCUUAAUAUGUAAAAAACACAGAUUCUUACAGUAAAAUUUUUAAUUUUUGGUGAAAUUAAUGGGAAAAUACUGGGCCUUUACAAACAAGGAAUUACCUUAAAAACAAUGGUAUUAUUCUGUGCAAAUUACACAUUUUCUUAAUGUGUACUGUAGAAUAUACAAUAUAAAACUGUUUAAAAUCCAACAAACACAUACCUUAAAUCCUACAGUAACAAGAUGUUAAACAUAUGUUUAUCUUUUUGUCAAUUUUAGUUAAAACUUUAAAUACUCUGUAAUUUACUGUACUUUUGUGUAUUGUUCUUUUAUUUAUCUAAUCUGAUAGUUAAUGCUAAUUGCAAUGAAAACAAAACGAAUGUCUUGAAGAAAGUCAAGAAAUAAUUUUAUCAUAGCUAUUCUAAAAAGAUAUUUUCCACCUUAUUUCAUAAUUACCACAACUAGACUAUGAAUAGGAUGAACAAAGCAAAAAUGUUCAAACAAGAAAAAAACUUGACCAUUUUAAAACAAUUAUGAAACUGUGUUUUUAUUAGUGGUGCUUGCGAAAUGGCAUUUGAAAUAAUAAUAAAAAGCGUGAACAAACGAAGAAACACACAAGAGGAAGAAGAUCGUCUCCCCGCUUCUAAGAUUAGGCCUGUGAAUUGCGCAGCGCGACCUGCAUGCGGCAAGUGGUGAGUACUCCUUUGGCUACUUUUUCACGGGGUAAUUUGCAAAUUGCAAAGCUAAAGUAACAGAUUAUCGUGCACUGCUAACGCAAAGUGUAAUUCUGAUGCCUUGUCAACUUGCAUUUAAGCUUGCGUUUUCAAAUCACUUAAAUUAAGGUUACGUGGUAACUCGCUAAUGAAAAAUGUGCUUAAAAACUCAUACACUGCUAAUGCGAAGUGUACUUUUGACGUCUUUUAAUCUUCUUUUAAUCCAUUUCUUGGCUUACUUUUAAAAAUGCUUAAGAGAGCACGACAAUUCAUUAAUAACGUUAACGGUCGAUGUCGUUUUAUAUUUCAAUCAGCGCCAUUUUAGCGCGCCAAGCAGCUGCUUUUGGAAUACCAUCCUCGUCCAUCCUUUUGAUUUCUGGGAGUUCAACAUUUCUUUUCGAGGUAAGCCAAACAAUACUGUUACAAACUAAAAAGUUAAAGUUAUUUAUUUUCCUUUCGUUGUUGUUAUUUAACCAGUUUUGGCUAUGUUUAGUUGCAAUUUCUGUGGCAAGUCGGUCAAAUCAUUGAGGGGGUAUGUACUUCAUUUUAAACUUCAUCGACUUCAUGUGACAUCAAAGAGUGGUGAGAUUUUUAAUUACUUUUAAAGACAUAUUUUUGCCAUAUAUGCUUUGUUGAACUUUUUGUUGAAUUUGGUCUUAUUCAGGAACAAAUGUAUUUUCUUUUAUCUCCUUUUCUUAUGUUACAAGAGGCUGUAUGCGACAGGGACCUCAUCAAUCUCUUUUUCUUCUGGAAAAUUCACGGGAUUGGCAAGUUUCUGAGCUUUAAGGAUCAUGUCAACACCUGAUCAUUGUAACCUGUCUGCAAGAGACUCUGUCCCACCUCUCUUCAGUCAAGUCUGGACCCAGUAAUUCAGACACCUCAAGGAUAAUUAAUGAAAGAUGAAGAAAAUGGCAGUCCAUGAAGUACUACAUUUCCAGUUUCUCGAACUGAUUUAGUGCCAUGUCUUCAGUCAGGUGUGGACUUAUUAUUAUUGUUCAAACAGAGCAAGUGGCCCUGGUUUACUUUUAUAUAUGGACACAUUUUAUUUCCAAGCUCAACAUUGUGAGUACACUGCAAGUUAUUGAAUCAGCUCAAACUGUUUUAACACAGUGUCAGUAUGCAAAAACGGGUUUUUUUUUGCAUACUGUUAAUGAUCUGUUAAUGAUAAUUUGUGUGUUGAUUGACUGCAUUUAUUACCUCAUUUAGUAAUUUACAAUAACCUGACUGACUGUUGUAAAAUCUAUGGCAACCACUUGUAAUGCCUUUUGUGUUAUACCGUAUUUUUUGCGAUGAAAUUCUGGCAACCACAGCUGCCAGUAAUUUUCUGUAAAAUUGAAGUUUACAAUAAAAUACUAUAAUAUUUCAUACGGUUGAAUUGUGUUUAUUACGGAGAUAGACUAUAAUUACUAUUAAAGAAAUUUACACUUGCAACUGCUAUUUUUAAAGUAAAUCACUGUAAACAGGUUUACAUUACAUCUGUUUUAUUUAACAGUAGUGUACCGUAAACAAGCAGCAAUUCGCUACUGUAAAAUUUACGGUUGCAAAAAAGCAUUCUGUAAAGUGUUCCACAUUGUAACCUUAUAUUUUACGGUGAACUUCUGGCAACCACAGCUGCCGGUAUUUUACCGUAUA